rnacentral:rRNA from 1 species
GAUGAACGCUGGCGGCGUGCCUAAUACAUGCAAGUCGAGCGAACAGAUAAGGAGCUUGCUCCUUUGACGUUAGCGGCGGACGGGUGAGUAACACGUGGAUAACCUACCUAUAAGACUGGGAUAACUUCGUGAAACCGGAGCUAAUUCCGGAUAACAUAUUGAACCGCAUGGUUCAAUAGUGUAAGGCGGCUUUGCUUUCACUUAUAGAUGGAUCCGAGCCGUAUUAGCUAGUUGGUAAGGUAACGGCUUACCAAGGCAACGGUACGUAGGCGACCUGAGAGGGUGAUCGGCCAAACCUGAAAUGGGACACGGUCCAGACUCCUACGGGAGGCAGCAGUAGGGAAUCUUCCGCAAUGGGCGAAAGCCUGACGGAGCAACGCCGCGUGAGUGAUGAAGGUCUUCGGAUCGUAAAACUCUGUUAUCAGGGAAGAACAAAUGUGUAAGUAACUGUGCACAUCUUGACGGUACCUGAUCAGAAAGCCACGGCUAACUACGUG